UGGCCGCUCUCCUCCCUCCACCUGUCCACGGGGGGGCUUCCCCCCGGGACCGUCUCCGCCCGUUCCCUCCCCGCCGGGAGGCGACGGUCUCCGGGGCCGCCCGGUCGCGGGUCCCGGCUCGGCGCUUCCCCGGCGCGCCCGGUCGCGGCCGCCUCUCGCCGGGACGCGCCGGGGAGGGUCCCCGCGGGGCGCUGACGGGCCGCCCCGGGCAGCGGUGCGAGCGGCGGGGCCGCCGCCGCGGAGGGCCGGGGUCGCAGCGCUGCCCCGGGGCCGGAGGCCGGCCGGGCCCCGCCGCGUCAGGCUCCUCGGGAGGUGGCCCCGGGGGAGGCUGCAGAGUGGCACGGAGGAUGUCUGGGAACGCUUCCGAACGGGGGCGAAACUCCCUCCUGGCACAGGUUGAAGAAGAGCGGUGGUGACAAGUGUCCCCGUCAAGGGGAGCGCUGAUAGCAAGAGUGAGUGGGAGUGUGUUUGUGUGUGUUACAAAGGCACUCGCGCGGUGCUUGGCGAUUUGAGGAUCUCCGACGUAUCUUUGACCAUGGAGUUGGUUAAAAACUUCUUAAACCUGCCCUGCCGUUGUUUUGACCCGGAAAGCAAAAGAACAUGCUUAAGAUGCCUAGCAGGGCAGGGGCUGCCUGUUGCACCGUGCCCUGUUGGACUGCAUCCCUGCUGCUGGAGAGUGGGCUCUCCUGGAGCCAGAGUCAUUCCGUGGGAACAAGGAGCCAUAGGAAGCAGUUGAAGAAAUAACGCGCCAGAAGGACGCAAGCGGUUUGUCUGCCCCUUCCAGCAGAGCCGCUCAUAGAGGGAGGGCAGGAGCCUCCAGAAGGAUGUGCUGCAGGACGCAGGCCUGGCCUGCAGAAGGUGUGUUACAGAUGAAGUGCCAACAGUCUGUCAGGACACAAGCGAAAAGUUUUCUGUAAUGCUUUCUCCCAGGGCUGGAGAAGAAGUCACUGUAAUCUGAAGGUCAACAGUGAUGGAAGACAUUCAUCCCUACCUUUAAAUACGGCUUAAAUCAGGAAGAAAUACAGUUUCUUUUCUUAGUACUUUGUUUUUAUGGUGUACCCUGCUAUAGUGUGUUUCUGUGAGGCUUAAAGAGUGUGUGUUUUGACAGAAUGGGAUGAUGGUCAUUUCAUUACAGUUCUGAAGGCCUAAUGUUAUAUUGCAAAACGUAGGUCUCUAGUCUUCGUCAGAGUCCAGAAUGGGUAGGAGUCUAAGGCUGAGUCCUUUCCUGUAAAUUACAAGCUUAUCUUUCCUUCUUCCAGAAAUACAUGGAUUUAGAGUAUUGGAUCACAUAAGUAUCCAGAGAAAUGCCUCCACUGCUACUGCUCUUGCAUUCUUAAAUUACAGUGAUUAAAACAUACAGGUUUUAUAUCGGUUACCUUAUAUAUGUAGCCCUUUGGUGGUUUCUGCUAUGAUGAAGUAUCUUGGAUAGACUAACAAAAACAACCACCUUCUUCAAUUUUAAUAGUAAUGUCACAUGUGAAAUUUAGGAGAAUUAGUGUGUAAGCUGGCAAAGAACUUUUCUAUAUUAUCUAGUAUUCAGACCUGAUUAAUACAUAUCCUGUUUGCAACAGAUUGCUUGUAGUUUUAUGGGUUGGAUAGCUAAUGAUACGUUACCUAAGAGGGAAGAACAAAAUCCUCUGCAGAGUUGAUAUCAUAUGUCUUAAUUUUGGUACCCAGUACUUCUCGUUUUGAUGCACCUAACAUUCCUAAUGUUAGUCUCAGUUAUAGAAUUAUAGUUUAUAGAAAACUGUAUCUAUCUACAUAGAAAACCAAAAUGAAAUUGUUGCUUUUUAAUUAACAGCAUCAUGCACUUCAAAGUGUGCUGAUCCAGCUGAGGUACGAACAGCUACAGCCCCUAGCUACAGUAUGUCAGCUCUUCGGUUCACACAGCAGCAACUUGCUGCCUUCCCUUGGAAGCAACCUUCUCAUUGUGUAGACAAGGGUCAUGACAGUCUUUAAACUGCCAGUACAUAAAAAUCCCAUGGAUGGGUUACAGUGGACUUCUGUGUUUUCACAACCAGGGAAAACACAACAAGAUUUUUUUUUUCCCAUCUUCUGUGCUAUGUAAAAUGUUAGUCUGACAUAUGACUGUAAUUAGUAAUCACCUGCUAGUGAGGGAAAUACAGAUCUCCAAGUGAUAAAGGGUUCCUUAACUAGGCAUGCCUAAAUACUGUCUUUGUAGGCACAGCCUGCCAAGGAAUUUAGUCAAGUACAGUACAUUAGAAAUGACAGGUAUUAAAACUUCCUGUGGCGUCUUGCACUUUUAGAGGCUGGAAGAAUGUUGCAGGGUGCAUGGCACAAGCACUACUGUGAGAGCAGAGAUUACCAGUGAUGCUCAUUGCAGUGGUUCCUCCAAGGAUAUCCAGCCUUCCAGCUGCUCUUUUAUUCUGAUGGUCUUGCUAGUUGUCAUUUGGUGGCUAUUACUUGAUUGGUGCCCAGUAAUUAGCUGAUACACUUCUAGAACUUUCAUGAAAGUAUUGGGGGACUCAAACAGUAAAGCAAAUUGACUUCUUUUAGCAUAAUACCACUAAGAUAGCACUUUUAACAAUGAAAAUAUGGAGCUUCUAGGUAUAAGCAUGAUUUUUCAGACUUUUGUUUUUAAGGCAAAUGUGUAAGGAUAAACAUGGAGAGGGUGUGAGUAGGUAGGACUGUAAGUCCUAAAAGAAACUUCUCUAUUUCUUAGGAUACUUGAGAAUUGGAUUAAAUCACUUCACAGUGUCUUGCUAGGUGGACAGCUUUUAUUAUCUUGAGAAGGGAAAAAGGAAGAAGUAUUUACUGGUUUCUUUUUUCUUACUCUGGACUAUAUAGAUGUAUUUAGCAUAUUUAAGUCACAUCUUUGUGCUGACAAAUAACAGCAAAGAUUUUUCAGGAAGAUGUGACUAGGUAGUUUAACACAAUUUCAGUAUAGCAUUAAUGAGGAUUACAUAUACUUAAAAGUAAAACUACAUGCAUGGUCUAUGAACAUAUGUGUUAGAUUUAUGCAGCCAGAAUGAACUGACACAAUUUCCUGUGCACCUCUGUCUGUAACUAUUCUGCUUUUCAGUUCUAAAGUCAGUGAGAUUAGCAGCAGGUAUGACCUUUUCUAACUGCUGAUGAGGAACAGGACAUGCUCCAAAUACUUUCAAAUACAAGCAGCUUAUGUUGGGGUCAGUAAGCACCCUAGCGUAAGUGUGGAAAGACUGGGCAGGGAAGCAGGUGGGAGACGGAUCACUGAUCCCUGAAACAUACUCUCCUUGGGAUAUAACGCUGUGGUGUAUGCACUGAUAUGUUGGCCAGCCUCUGUCAGCUCUCAUCUUAAUAUUGUGAAAAAGUAAUACUCUGAGUGCAUGUAGAAAAGGUUCUUGCACCUUUUAGUGCUCAGCAAGGGCAAGAUGUUUUCUUGGGAAGUUCAGAAUAAAUAUCUAGUCAUGGGUUGCAUUUAUGAUGCUGAACUGAUAUUGAUCUAAGCCCAAGUCCUAAUUUGCUGUGCUAUCGGACCAGCUGAAUGUGCUGUCCUGUGCACUAGAAGGAUGGUAGUGAGCAUCCAAGAUAAUGACCUCUCAGUUUUCAAAAGAAAAAGCAUCAAUUUGCCAAGGAAAAUUGUAUACUGGUGUAAAUUUGUGUCUGCAUGCCUAUGUUGCACACAUGCAAGCACAGUGAAAGCUUAACAAUGAUAAUCUGAGGAGCAACUUUUAAGGGGAAAAAAAACAGAGUUCUAUGUGAAAAAUGCAUGUGCUUCAGCUGAAUAAAUAACUUCUGUCUCACUGGGUGAAUCUGACAGUCCUUUGCACAAUGAUAAUGGUGUAAAUUUCAUUGCAAUGAAUUGAUGUGAAUGUUCUAGAUGUUACUGUGUUACUGGAGCAAGGAGAUGGGUAUUCCUUUUUUUAUGCUGGCCUCAGUAGGAUUUAUUGCAGAGGCUAAGAGAAAUGCUGCUUCAUGAAUGCCACUGGAGAGAAGAUUCAGAGUUUCCCAAGUGAUUCAUAGAUGUCUUUAUGGCUGGAGAUUACCAUGGGGAUGUCAGAGUCAUUUAAUUUCUCCCUUGGAGAGUGCUGUCUACUCCUGUGUUCCACCAGCCCUUGAAGAUCUUCCCCUUGCCCUUCUGUCUCUGCAGUAAACUUACAGAUGUGAAUUGCUUUUCCUCCUGUAAUAUUCCUUGGAAAUUAUUUUAAUGUUGUUUUAGUGUUGCUUUCUUUUUUUUUUACCCUUUCCAUCUUUUUCUCCACUUCUUUCCCAUAAAUAAUUUAAGAGUAUGUUCUUCCUUGUCAUACCUGUAUAUUUGUAAGCUUCAAAGAUGUCUUUACAGACAUGCUGGAGCAUAAGAUGAGACACUGUACCUAAUUUCAAAUUCAAACAUUGCUUUAAGCUUGGAAACUGUAGAGAGAUUAAAAAAACCUGACAACAAA